rnacentral:misc_RNA from 1 species
GGUUGGAUCCCUGCCUAGUGCAGCGACGUCCUAACUCACUACCCUCUUCAAUGUUGGCACAAUUUUACAUUGGCCGUUCGAUGGUUUCCUGUGUUUCGUACCUACUUGAUGGAAUUCAGUUGUCAAUCUCCAGUMGUUCGCCUAACGUUGCCCGUUAAUUCGGUGCGGCUGCGGGUGAAACUCGAAACGAGAUUCGUGUCCCACAUUUUGCAMGUAUUGUGUCAGAAUCGUGGUCCAUGAAUACUCGCUCGGGCGCUGGGAUGCGGAAAACGAUGAGGGCACGGAGUCUCUGGCUCCUAUUUGUCCGCAAAAAGGCUUAAAGGCCUGUUUCGAACGACUUCGAUUCCGUUCCGGCCUCGAGCCGUGCGGGUCGAUGUUUGUGAGGAAUGCUAC